UGGGGAAUAUUGCACAAUGGGCGCAAGCCUGAUGCAGCCAUGCCGCGUGUGUGAAGAAGGCCUUCGGGUUGUAAAGCAUUUUCAGCGGGGAGGAAGGCGAUAAGGUCAAUAACCUUGUCGAUUGACGUUACCCGCAGAAGAAGCACCGGCUAACUCCGUGCCAGCAGCCGCGGUAAUACGGAGGGUGCAAGCGUUAAUCGGAAUUACUGGGCGUAAAGCGCACGCAGGCGGUCUGUCAAGUCGGAUGUGAAAUCCCCGGGCUUAACCUGGGAACUGCAUUCGAAACUGGCAGGCUAGAGUCUUGUAGAGGGGGGUAGAAUUCCAGGUGUAGCGGUGAGAUGCGUAGAGAUCUGGAGGAAUACCGGUGGCGAAGGCGGCCCCCUGGACAAAGACUGACGAUCAGAUGCGAAAGCGUGAGGAGCAAACAGG
rnacentral:rRNA from 1 species